rnacentral:snRNA from 1 species
GUGCUCACUUCAGCAGCGCAUAUACUAAAAUUGGAAUGAUACAGA